CCAUGCACUUCUCUCCUAUCUACAGUGACUACUCCCCCUUCACUGUCUCUAGUCUACACCACAGAGAAAGCACCUGGACUUGCAGUCAAUCACCUCUGAGACACCUGAGAAAUAGGAAAUAAGCUGAGAUAUCAGACACCACAGCACAAAUGACAUGUACAGGACAGAAGUGUGGAUGUCCAGUAGAGAGAGAGAACAUUAAAGUGAAAGAAAGAAAGAACAUCUUCAUCUGCCAGUCCUCACCUCCAUUUAACCUUCUCACAACCAUACCUUUCCUCACUCUGUUACCAAGAGUAGAGAUAUAGGAAGGAGCUCGGAAACUGCCACUCCAAUAGAAAUCCCUGCUCACGAUACUUAGCACUGGUGGUUUUUGGCUAGCUCAGCCAAUCAGCACAAGUACAGAGACACCAGACCGUGUUCAGUGUCAGAACUGUGCAAAAAGUAAAGUGGUCUUGAUUUGAAAAGCCAGAAGAGCAGUGUGUGUAAGGCUGUAGUGUAAGGCUGUAGUGUAAGGCUGUAGUCAGGCUGUAGUGUAAGGCUGUAGUGUAAGGCUGUAGUGUAAGGCUGUAGUCAGGCUGUAGUGUAAGGCUGUAGUGUAAGGCUGUAGUGUAAGGCUGUAGUCAGGCUGUAGUGUAAGGCUGUAGUGUAAGGCUGUAGUGUAAGGCUGUAGUCAGGCUGUAGUGUAAGGCUGUAGUGUAAGGCUGUAGUAUAAGGCUGUAGUGUAAGGCUGUAGUAUAAGGCUGUAGUGUAAGGCUGUAGUGUAAGGCUGUAGUGUAAGGCUGUAGUAUAAGGCUGUAGUGUAAGGCUGUAGUGUAAGGCUGUAGUGUAAGGCUGUAGUCAGGCUGUAGUGUAAGGCUGUAGUGUAAGGCUGUAGUGUAAGGCUGUAGUCAGGCUGUAGUGUAAGGCUGUAGUGUAAGGCUGUAGUAUAAGGCUGUAGUGUAAGGCUGUAGUGUAAGGCUGUAGUCAGGUUGUAGUGGCUCUUCAGGUUACUACAGAUUUAUACACACAAGUAAUACAAAUAUAUUCUUUAAAAAGACAAGGACUGAAGUAGGACAUCUCAAUUACUGAAGUAGCCAAUGAAUUAGCUAAUUUAAAAUCAGGUCAAAAUAUGAGUAUAAUAUACAUUUAAAACUCUGGAAUUUUGUAUACAGUUAUUGUUAUUGAGAGAGAAUGGUAACCGGGUAGGGCUCAAUAAAACCCAGUUACUACACAAUGCAUAGUGGUUGAGUAGGGCUCAAUAAAACCCAGUUACUACACAAUGCAUAGUGGUUGGGUAGGGCUCAAUAAAACCCAGUUACUACACAAUGCAUAGUGGUUGAGUAGGGCUCAAUAAAACCCAGUUACUACACAAUGCAUAGUGGUUGGGUGGGGCUGUAGGAAACCCAUUACUACAGAAUGUACGGAGGGUGGGUGAGGGUGUGUGUGUGAAUCACAGCUUGCCAUGUGUCAGCAGCAGAGUGAAACUAUACGCUCUCUGUCUGUCUGUCAUUGUGUUAAGUGGGUGACUCUCAGCUACAGUAUGUUAGCUAGCUAGCGUUAGUGUGGUUUAGCUAGCAUGACUCAGAGCCAUGACUGGCUAAAAGACCGUAGAAGUGAGGGACAAACAGCUGGAAUUACCUUUAUUUAGCUAGAAUGGUGUAAUAGUGGAGCAAGAACUGAAAUGUCAGAGCAUCCUCUAUUCCUCUGAUAUUGAUUAGGAUGAGUAAUAUUUAUGUAGAAGAGGGGUUUGAAGAGGUUGUGUUAAAUUAUUUUAUAGUCUUGAUGUUAGAUGUGUUUUCUUAAACUGUACUCAUUCUGAACAGCUAAAUAUAUUUUUUUAAUUAUUUCAACAAAAUCUGUAUAAUAUGUAUAUAGUUCAUUUGUAUAAUGAAUAAAACAAAUAAAGUUAAAAGUUAACAGAAACCUCAGUAAAACAUACAUAUUUUUUUUAUGUACUGGCCCCCCGUGGGAAUCGAACCCACAACCCUGGCUUUGCACACACCAUGCUGGCGUUGCAAGCACCAUGCUCUACCAACUGAGCCACAGGGAAGACUUAUUUGCUUAAUUCGCUGAACACAACAGGUGCUUAUUAGAGAGGCUUCUAUUUGAGCCAGGCUUCUAUUUCCUUAAUGCACACAGCGUUUGCUCAUUUGCAUAGUUAAUUGUUUACGUCCAGCAUUCACUUCCAGCAUUCACUUCCAGCAUUAACCUUUAUUUAACUAGUCAAGUCAGUUAAGAGCAAAUUCUUACUUACAAUGACGGCCUACAUUUGAAUCACUUUCUUCAUUUCCUGCACUAAUGUAUUAUCAUUUACACACUGUGUCACAUUUAUUUUGUCAUAGUACGCUUCUAUUAAAAAUGCUAACUUUUCCAUGACAGAAUAAUUAUUCUCCUCUUUGACUGUGUAUUUUCGUCAGUUCUCAAUUUUGCCAAUAGAGGGCAACCUGAUGAUUUCUAGGGGUCUGUACUCCCAAAGUUGUUGACUGUUUUUGUGCUUGCCAGUUAGCUAGCAGUUCUCAACUGUUAGAAGCCAAUGGCUGGCAAUUUCUUACUAGCGAUAAAAACAGAUGAUUGCCAUAAUUUUGCAGAGUCAUUACUGAAUUAUAUAAUGUAAAAAAAGAAACAAUAAACCUUGUAAACAAUGAAUGGUAAUUCAUGGUAACCUCGUAAAUAAUUCAUUUAGACCCGGCAUUUAUUUGGAACCGGCGUUAAUUUGAAAUGUGUGCAGUUGCCCAGCUAUUACAGUUUUUUUUUAAUCGCUUUGGUACUAUUUUCACAAGUAAAAAUGUUGUUCUUUCAAAACUUUAAUCACAUUUUCAAUUGACUGAGUACAACUCACAAAAUCCCACAGUGACUGUUUCAGCAACCCUAAUCAGUGUUUCAUCUAAAAAUAUCUUUCAUAUAAAGUCAUUGCCUUUCACAAUACUCACAAUACUUUGAUAUGAUUCUUUUCUCAUUAGUUUAAAUACAUCUGACCAUCACUUUAUCCAACUGUGAUUAAUGGUUAAUCACUUAACCAUUUGUUAAACCUAUAGAUUUUAAACUGGCUUGUCUACUAUAUAUGGAUUUAGAACUACAGAAAUAAAAUGUGUGUUUGUAAAGUACAAAUAUCUAAAUGACACAUGAUAACCAUACAUAAUGAUCAAAGAGGUCAAAGAGGUGGGCAUGGGCCCUGUCAAAGAGGUGGGCAUGGAUCCUGUCAAAGAGGUGGGCAUGGAUCCCGUCAAAGAGGUGGGCAUGGAUCCCGUCAAAGAGGUGGGCAUGGAUCCCGUCAAAGAGGUGGGCAUGGGCCCUGUCAAAGAGGUGGGCAUGAAUCCCGUCAAAGAGGUGGGCAUGGAUCCUGUCAAAGACUGGUUAGUCUGCAGGAUGUGAACUAUGCUUCACCAUUACAUUUACGUUAAUUGACAUUGUAAUGCAUGUAAAUUCACAAAACAUGUUCCAGUAUUGUUUCAGUAUGAUCUAUUGACAGUAAAGUCUGUUCUACCUUCAGAAUUGACAGAAGACCACAUGGUGGUGGCCGUGGCCGUGUGCUGACCAAUCAGCAGGAGUGGGCCGUGGUGGAAAUAGUGAGAGACAGGAAUGACAGAUGAAACACAUUUACCUGGUGCCUUUUGAGAGAAACAACGACCAGGUGAAACAACUGCUGGUCGAGUAUGUUCAGAGGGUGAUGGGGCUUGAUGCUGCUGUGAACCAUCACAAGUAUAUCUUUGUUGAUGAAGCGGCCUUCAACCUGGCCAAACUCGAUGCCGUAGGCGGAACCUCAUCGGCCAACGUGCGACCGUCCAAGUGCCUGGACAACGUGGGGCAUGGUUUCUGGUCCAUCUCCGAUUCAUGACCCUAUAUCUGCCCCCAUACUCUCCUUUCCUCAACCCUGCUGAGGAUUUGUUUUCAGCAUGGAGGUGGAAGGUGUACGAUCGCCUUCCCCAUGAGCGUGCCACCCUCCUUCUGGCCAUGGAUGAGGCAUGCGAC
rnacentral:lncRNA from 1 species